GUGAGGAAUUUUGCGCAAUGGGGGCAACCCUGACGCAGCGACGCCGCGUGGAGGACGAAGUCUUUCGGGAUGUAAACUCCUGUCAGUGGGGACGAUAAUGACGGUACCCACAGAGGAAGCACCGGCUAACUCCGUGCCAGCAGCCGCGGUAAGACGGAGGGUGCAAGCGUUGUUCGGAAUUACUGGGCGUAAAGCGUAUGUAGGCGGCAAGUUAAGUUCAAUGUUAAAGCCCACGGCUCAACCGGGGAGAUGCAUUGAAUACUGGCUAGCUAGAGGGUGGUAGAGGAAGACGGAAUUCCCAGUGUAGCGGUGAAAUGCGUAGAUAUUGGGAGGAACAUCGGUAGCGAAAGCGGUCUUCUGGGACAUACCUGACGCUGAGGUACGAAAGCGUGGGGAGCAAACGGGAUUAGAAACCCCUGUAGUCC
rnacentral:rRNA from 1 species